GACGAACGCUGGCGGCGUGCUUAACACAUGCAAGUCGAGCGGAAAGUCCCUGCUUUUGGGGGGAGCAAGAGUGGCGAACGGACGGGUAACAAGUGCGUAACCUGCCCUCGACAUUGGGAUAACUUAAGGAAAGUGGGGCUAAUACAGGAUAGGAGCCACUGCUGCAUGGUGGGGGUUGGAAAGUUUCGGCGGUUGGGGAUGGACACGCGGCUUAUCGGCUUGUUGGUGGGGAAGUGGCUUGCCAAGGCUUUGACGGGUAGCCGGCCCUGGAGGGUGGCCGGCCACCUGGGUCCUACGGUACGGCCCAGACUCCUACGGUAGGCAGCGGUGGGAAAUCUUGCACAGUGGGCCCACGUCUGAUGCAGCGACGCCCCGUGCGUGAUGACGUCCUGCUGGUUGUAAACCGCUUUCGCCUGUGACUAAGCGUGAGUGACGGUACUUGGUAAAGAAGCACCGGCUAACUACGUG
rnacentral:rRNA from 1 species